UACGUAGGGUGCAAGCGUUGUCCGGAAUUAUUGGGCGUAAAGCGUGCGCAGGCGGUUUUGUAAGUCUGACGUGAAAUCCCCGGGCUCAACCUGGGAAUUGCGUUGGAGACUGCAAGGCUAGAAUCUGGCAAAGGGGGGUAGAAUUCCACGUGUAGCAGUGAAAUGCGUAGAGAUGUGGAGGAACACCGAUGGCGAAGGCAGCCCCCUGGGUCAAGAUUGACGCUCAUGCGCGAAAGCGUGGGGAGCAAACAGG
rnacentral:rRNA from 1 species